ACAAUGGGGUGGUUCCAUGGCCCAGAAGCACUCUAGCUACAGAUUAGAAUGAUGACAAGAGUAAUACCUUCCUAGUGAAGAUGACUUUUAUUUCAGGACUAUAUUAAGUUUCCCAACUUCUGUCAUGAUAUAGUCCAAAGAGAACCUGGACCACGCAGACAUCAAACAGAACAUGACACUGACCCAUUCUAUCAGUGACGUUGUGCUGAUUGCACAGGACAGAUGAGAGGCUCGUAUACUAGAAGUCUUGUUAUCCACAGAAGGAAUGAUCUGCAAUGUACACACGCCAGGACAGAAAUUCUACAGUUGCUGAUAAAAUGUAAACCUGUAAGUACUGAAUAAGAAUUAUGCCCAAUAAAAAGUCAUGGCUAGGGAGUAAAAGAUGGAGUGUUGACAGGGAAGUAGAACAAUAAAUGGGGUAAUCAGGAAAGGCUGAUUACCUUUCCUGAUGGGGAAGGGUGAGACCCCUAAUCUAGUCCAGUCUCCCAUUUUACAAAUAAAGAGACUGAGCUCCACAAGGUUAAGCUACUGGUCCAGAAUCCCAUAGCUCACAAGUGAUGAGCUGCCUCCUUC
rnacentral:lncRNA from 10 species